CCUACGGGUGGCAGCAGUGAGGAAUAUUGGUCAAUGGACGGAAGGCUGAACCAGCCAUGCCGCGUGAAGGUCAGUGCCCUAUGGGCGUUAAACUUCUUUUGUGAGGGAGGAAUAAUGGUAACGUGUGGCCAGACGAGAGUACUGGAAGAAUAAGCAUCGGCUAAAUCCGUGCCAGCAGUCGCGGUAAUACGGGAGAUGCAAGCGUUAUUCCGAUUUAUUUGGGUUAAAGGGGGCGUAGGCUGUGAGGAAAGUCAGCGGUGAAAUGCCCGCGGUCAACGGGGUGCAGUGCCAUUGAUACUGUCUGGCUAGAGUGUGGAUGCGGUGGGAGGAAUGUGUGGUGUAGCGGUGAAAUGCAUAGAGAUCACACAGAACACCGAUUGCGAAGGCAUCUCACGAAUCCGCGAUUGACGCUGAGGCACGAAAGCGUGGGGAUCAAACAGGAUUAGAUACCCGAGUAGUC
rnacentral:rRNA from 1 species